GGGUUCGUAGCAAUGUGGCCAACUGCACCCGGCUUUUAACCGGAGUAUGUGGGUUCGAUUCCCACCGGACCUA
rnacentral:tRNA from 1 species